rnacentral:rRNA from 1 species
CCUACGGGCGGCUGCAGUGGGGAAUUUUCCGCAAUGGGCGAAAGCCUGACGGAGCAAUACCGCGUGAGGGAUAAAGGCCUUCGGGUUGUAAACCUCUUUUAUCAAGGAGGAAAUUUUGACGUGUACUUGAUGAAUAAGCAUCGGCUAACUCCGUGCCAGCAGCCGCGGUAAGACGGAGGAUGCAAGUGUUAUCCGGAAUUAUUGGGCGUAAAGCGUCUGUAGGUGGUUUAAAAAGUCCAUGGUUAAAACUUGAAGCUUAACUUCAAAGAUGCCAUGGAAACUUUUAAACUUGAGUAUGGUAGGGGUAAAGGGAAUUUCCAGUGGAGCGGUGAAAUGCGUAGAUAUUGGAAAGACCACCGACGGCGAAGGCACUUUACUGGGCCAUUACUGACACUAAGAGACGAAAGCUAGGGGAGCAAAUGGGAUUAGAUACCCAAGUAGUC